CGGAAUAACUCAGAGGAAAUUUGAGCUAAUACCGGAUAAUGUCUUCGGACCAAAGAUUUAUCGCCUUUGGAUGGGCCCGCGUUGGAUUAGCUAGUUGGUGGGGUAAAGGCCUACCAAGGCGACGAUCCAUAGCUGGUCUGAGAGGAUGAUCAGCCACACUGGACUGAGACACGGCCCNNNCUCCUACGGGAGGCAGCAGUGGGGAAUAUUGGACAAUGGGCGAAAGCCUGAUCCNNCAAUGCCGCGUGAGUGAUGAAGGCCUUAGGGUUGUAAAGCUCUUUUACCCGAGAUGAUAAUGACAGUAUCGGGAGAAUAAGCUCCGGCUAACUCCGUGCCAGCAGCCGCGGUAAUACGGAGGGAGCUAGCGUUGUUCGGAAUUACUGGGCGUAAAGCG
rnacentral:rRNA from 1 species